GAUGAACGCUAGCUACAGGCUUAACACAUGCAAGUCGAGGGGCAUCAGGAAGAAAGCUUGCUUUCUUUGCUGGCGACCGGCGCACGGGUGAGUAACACGUAUCCAACCUGCCCUUUACUCGGGGAUAGCCUUUCGAAAGAAAGAUUAAUACCCGAUAGCAUAAUGAUUCCGCAUGGUUUCAUUAUUAAAGGAUUCCGGUAAAGGAUGGGGAUGCGUUCCAUUAGGCAGUUGGUGAGGUAACGGCUCACCAAACCUUCGAUGGAUAGGGGUUCUGAGAGGAAGGUCCCCCACAUUGGAACUGAGACACGGUCCAAACUCCUACGGGAGGCAGCAGUGAGGAAUAUUGGUCAAUGGGCGCAGGCCUGAACCAGCCAAGUAGCGUGAAGGAUGACUGCCCUAUGGGUUGUAAACUUCUUUUAUAUGGGAAUAAGUUUUCCACGUGUGGAAUUUUGUAUGUACCAUAUGAAUAAGGAUCGGCUAACUCGUG
rnacentral:rRNA from 1 species